UGUGAGGGGAGUGAAAUAGAACCUGAAACCGUGUACGUACAAGCAGUAGGAGCACCUUCGUGGUGUGACUGCGUACCUUUUGUAUAAUGGGUCAGCGACUUAUAUUCAGUGGCAAGGUUAACCGUAUAGGGGAGCCGUAGCGAAAGCGAGUCUUAACUGGGCGCUCAGUCUCUGGAUAUAGACCCGAAACCGGGUGAUCUAGCCAUGGGCAGGUUGAAGGUUGAGUAACAUCAACUGGAGGACCGAACCGACUAAUGUUGAAAAAUUAGCGGAUGACUUGUGGCUAGGGGUGAAAGGCCAAUCAAACUCGGAGAUAGCUGGUUCUCCCCGAAAGCUAUUUAGGUAGCGCCUCGGACGAAUACUACUGGGGGUAGAGCACUGUUAAGGCUAGGGGGUCAUCCCGACUUACCAACCCUUUGCAAACUCCGAAUACCAGUAAGUACUAUCCGGGAGACACACGGCGGGUGCUAACGUCCGUCGUGGAGAGGGAAACAACCCAGACCGCCAGCUAAGGUCCCAAAGUAUUGCUAAGUGGGAAACGAUGUGGGAAGGCUCAGACAGCUAGGAUGUUGGCUUAGAAGCAGCCAUCAUUUAAAGAAAGCGUAAUAGCUCACUAGUCGAGUCGGCCUGCGCGGAAGAUGUAACGGGGCUAAGCAAUACACCGAAGCUGCGGCAAUGUCUUUUAGACAUUGGGUAGGGGAGCGUUCUGUAAGCCGUUGAAGGUGAAUCGUAAGGUUUGCUGGAGGUAUCAGAAGUGCGAAUGCUGACAUGAGUAACGACAAAGGGGGUGAAAAACCUCCUCGCCGGAAGACCAAGGGUUCCUGUCCAACGUUAAUCGGGGCAGGGUGAGUCGACCCCUAAGGUGAGGCCGAAAGGCGUAAUCGAUGGGAAACGGGUUAAUAUUCCCGUACUUCUGACUAUUGCGAUGGGGGGACGGAGAAGGCUAGGUGGGCCAGGCGACGGUUGUCCUGGUUCAAGUGCGUAGGCUUGAGAGUUAGGUAAAUCCGGCUCUCUCUAAGGCUGAGACACGACGUCGAGCUACUACGGUAGUGAAGUCAUUGAUGCCAUGCUUCCAGGAAAAGCCUCUAAGCUUCAGAUAGUCAGGAAUCGUACCCCAAACCGACACAGGUGGUCGGGUAGAGAAUACCAAGGCGCUUGAGAGAACUCGGGUGAAGGAACUAGGCAAAAUGGUACCGUAACUUCGGGAGAAGGUACGCUCUUGAUGGUGAAGUCCCUCGCGGAUGGAGCUGACGAGAGUCGCAGAUACCAGGUGGCUGCAACUGUUUAUUAAAAACACAGCACUGUGCAAAAUCGCAAGAUGACGUAUACGGUGUGACGCCUGCCCGGUGCCGGAAGGUUAAUUGAUGGGGUUAGCGCAAGCGAAGCUCUUGAUCGAAGCCCCGGUAAACGGCGGCCGUAACUAUAACGGUCCUAAGGUAGCGAAAUUCCUUGUCGGGUAAGUUCCGACCUGCACGAAUGGCGUAAUGAUGGCCACGCUGUCUCCACCCGAGACUCAGUGAAAUUGAAAUCGCUGUGAAGAUGCAGUGUACCCGCGGCUAGACGGAAAGACCCCGUGAACCUUUACUACAGCUUGGCACUGAACAUUGAACCUACAUGUGUAGGAUAGGUGGGAGGCUAUGAAGACGUGACGCCAGUUGCGUUGGAGCCGUCCUUGAAAUACCACCCUUGUAUGU
rnacentral:rRNA from 1 species